rnacentral:lncRNA from 1 species
GAGGUGUCGUGGGAGUCUCUGUCUCGCGUCGACCCUUGUGGACUGAUAACCUACUUCAACGCCCACAACUACGCCUACAUUGGAAACGACUGUACGAAGUACAAAGACUACAGAAUGCCUACCGCGGACCUCCAUUAUGUGUUCCCUGAUCCUACCUAUGAUCUGACUGUCACCGUCCCAGCUACCGGAGAAGUUCUUCUUUCCCGGGCCGAGGGCUGAUGAUUGCAGUUGGAGUGAUGGUUGCUGUGCGAGGUCAUCAUUGUUAUCGGCGAGGGCGCUGACCUGAAGAAGAAAGCCAAACUCUACGAAAAUAAUGAUUCAGCCAGUAUCCUGACCUAUUAUGAUCAUUUGGUUAAUGAAUGUUUUGUCUUUUACAAAACGCAUAAAAUUCUUGAUUUUC